AAGUCGUAACAAGGUUUCCGUAGGUGAACCUGCGGAAGGAUCAUUAACACGUAUCCAACGUUAAAACCCCCCCCGUGAACUUUCAAUCCUGCUCUUGUAACCCGCGUAGUUCGCAAUCUCUGGUAAAUCAUAGCCCGGAAAGUUGUUUUGAUUCAGAGACCUCUGGCUACGUGAGAACAUUGGAACAGUUACAAUUCGAGCGGUAGUUUCAUAGGCAUUGUUUCCCCAAGCAGUCAGUGUCGGAAAGUGUCACUGAUUGUGCAAGGAUAGCGCUUCACGAUUCCUGUAGACCGUACACUCGGGCAGGAGCUAUGCCAAAGGGUCCCCAUGCCCCCUUAUAACCCCACAGUUAGCCUAACCGCAACCACCCCAACGCAAGUGCACCGGCGUGGUUGGAAAACGAACAACUGUUAACAAUGGAUAUCUUGGUUCUC
rnacentral:misc_RNA from 1 species